rnacentral:rRNA from 1 species
AGCAGUCGCCGCGGUAAUACGGAGGGGGCUAGCGUUAUUCGGAAUUACUGGGCGUAAAGCGCACGUAGGCGGCUUCGCAAGUCAGAGGUGAAAGCCUGGGGCUCAACUCCAGAAUUGCCUUUGAGACUGCGUCGCUCGAAUCCGGGAGAGGUGAGUGGAAUUCCGAGUGUAGAGGUGAAAUUCGUAGAUAUUCGGAAGAACACCAGUGGCGAAGGCGGCUCACUGGACCGGCAUUGACGCUGAGGUGCGAAAGCGUGGGGAGCAAACAGGAUUAGAUACCCGUGUAGUCCCUGUCUCUUAUAC